rnacentral:lncRNA from 1 species
GUUGGGUGGUUGGUAGCUCAGUGAAUUAAGAUUGAUUUUGUCUCCUCGGUGUUGAGUGCUGCUGCCUGCAUAAAAGAGGAAAAAGUCACAGUAAUAUGAAGAGAAAAAGAGGAGUGCAAAGAGUAUACUCCUUACUUGGCUGACCAGAAAGAGAAGAUUUUUGUGGUUUAGCAUCCUGGGAGAUAGAGAAUAAUCAAAGGAAAAAAGAGGAGAGAACAGAGCAGAUAUGAAAGUGGAAAAGAAAUAGAAGGGCAAGGAGGAAGAGACAGAAAGAAGGAGGCAGGAGGAGCAAAAGAGAAAAACAGGAGUGUACAGUGUUGGGAAAAAAAAGGUCUGAAAGCGCUCAAGGUGAAAUCUAUUACAGGAUGAACCAGAGAACACCUGAAGUCUGAAUAAUAGUCAGUUAUGACUUUGAACUCUUAAGCACCUACUUCUUGCAUUAUGUGAGUGUGUUUAAAAAUGCUAAAUAAAUGUGUAUCAGUUAUCA